GCCCGAAUAGCUCAGUGACAGAGCAUCAGACUUUUAAUCUGAGGGUCCGGGGUUUGAAUCCCCGUUCGGGCU